AACCAUGCAGAAAGUAGUUAACGUUUUUAAUGGAGGAAAACGAAAGAGUGGUUAAAAAUAAAACUUUCAAAAAACAUUAAAAAAAUAUUAUUUUUAAAAAUUAAUAUAGCAAAAAUAAAAAUUUGAAAAAUGCAUGCCCUCAAGACAAAGCUUUUCAACUAACGACAAGUCCCUUUUCUCCCACUAACGAAACCCUAGUCAGAUUUUUG
rnacentral:lncRNA from 1 species